rnacentral:tmRNA from 1 species
GGGGGUGAUUGGACUCGACAGAAAUGGAGGAAGAUGAGAGCAUGCCGAGGUUGCACUGUGCUCGUUAAACAGGUGCAAAACAAAUAAACGCAAACGAAAAUAGUUACGCGUUAGCUGCUUAGUCAGCUAAGGGAUUAUAUCCAACUUAACCUUCUGAGGUGCUUAUAAUCUCUAAUUAAAAGGAAGGCGGUCUGAAAUGAAUAGCUUUGUGGUUUCAGACUUGUAUUACAAAGCUGAAGAUUUUACCGAUUUGUCAUCUUAAAGGUAAAAUCUAAAACUCAAAGAUGACUAAGCAUGUAGCGUUCAUCGGGUAACCAUUUACUGGACGCGGGUUCGAUUCCCGCCACCUCCACCA